CUUAUUUCAUGUUGGUGUUUGGUUUUCGUGCUAGGUCAAAAUGUGAGUUGGGUCAAUCAAAAACCACAUUCUCGCGAUUGGUUUUUUGGCCGGAGUUGGCUAUCAAAACCUAGCCGAGCGAUUUGGCGUGUGAGCUCCGAGUCUAAGGUGUGAGUCCGCUUUGGAAGGGAUCAUGAACCAACCUGGUUCACUGAAUAUGCCGAUAUUAUCAUGUGUCAUGCGUUAACAUGCGAGUUUAGUAAUUGAGUCGAAUACAACAACACGUGCUUUCAAUAUUAAUAACCUCAACAUGGAGAUUUUGAUUUUUCUAAGCAUUCUACUGCAAAACUAUGAACCUCAACAACAUUUAUGAGUUUGAGUUCUGUAUUCAUCCAA